UGCAAGUCGAGGGGUAACGGAAGUAGCUUGCUACUAGACGACGACCGGCGCACGGGUGAGUAACGCGUAUGUAAUCUGCCUUGUACAGAGGGAUAGCCCAGAGAAAUUUGGAUUAAUACCUCAUAGUAUUACCGAAUCGCAUGAUUCGGUAAUUAAAGCUCCGGCGGUACAAGAUGAACAUGCGUGACAUUAGCUAGUUGGUAAGGUAAUGGCUUACCAAGGCCACGAUGUCUAGGGGUUCUGAGAGGAUGAUCCCCCACACUGGUACUGAGACACGGACCAGACUCCUACGGGAGGCAGCAGUGAGGAAUAUUGGUCAAUGGACGCAAGUCUGAACCAGCCAUCCCGCGUGAAGGAUGACUGCCCUAUGGGUGGUAAACUUCUUUUAUAUGCAAAUAAACCUACUUUCGUGAAAGUAGCUGAAGGUAGCAUAUGAAUA
rnacentral:rRNA from 1 species